GACGAACCGAGCAAACGUUAUUCGGAAUCACUGGGCUUAAAGGGCGCGUAGGCGGGCAUCCAAGUCCGUGGUGAAAUCCGGCAGCUCAACUGUCGAACUGCCGCGGAUACUGGGUGCCUCGAGGGAGGUAGGGGCGUGCGGAACUAUUGGUGGAGCGGUGAAAUGCGUUGAUAUCAAUAGGAACUCCGGUGGCGAAGGCGGCACGCUGGACCUCUUCUGACGCUGAGGCGCGAAAGCCAGGGGAGCAAACGGG
rnacentral:rRNA from 1 species